AAACCGGGGCUAAUACCGGAUGCUUGUUUGAACCGCAUGGUUCAAACAUAAAAGGUGGCUUCGGCUACCACUUACAGAUGGACCCGCGGCGCAUUAGCUAGUUGGUGAGGUAAUGGCUCACCAAGGCGACGAUGCGUAGCCGACCUGAGAGGGUGAUCGGCCACACUGGGACUGAGACACGGCCCAGACUCCUACGGGAGGCAGCAGUAGGGAAUCUUCCGCAAUGGACGAAAGUAUGACG
rnacentral:rRNA from 1 species